rnacentral:rRNA from 1 species
GACGAACGCUGGCGGCGUGCUUAAAACAUGCAAGUCGAACGGUCUAUCCCUUCGGGGGUAGGUUAGUGGCGAACGGCUGAGUAACACGUGAGUGACCUGUCCUCUGGGUGGGGGAUAACCCCCCGAAAGGGGGGCUAAUACCGCAUACGUCCGCCUAGGUAGAGCUAGGUGGGGAAAGGUAUUUCGCCCGGGGAGGGGCUCGCGGCCCAUCAGGUAGUUGGUGAGGUAACGGCCCACCAAGCCGAUGACGGGUAGCUGGUCUGAGAGGAUGGCCAGCCAGACUGGGACUGAGACACGGCCCAGACUCCUACGGGAGGCAGCAGUUAGGAAUCUUGCGCAAUGGGGGAAACCCUGACGCAGCGACGCCGCGUGGACGAAGAAGGCCUUCGGGUCGUAAAGUCCUUUUCCGGGGGAAGAUAGUGACGGUACCCCGGGAAUAAGCCCCGGCUAACUACGUGCCAGCAGCCGCAGUAAAAC